ensembl:lncRNA
UUCACAACUCUCACACCCGAGCAGACUUCACACAUCCACUCUGAGCAGCUCAGUGCACUGCAUCUUCUCCAGAAUCUACGACAGUCAUCAUGGUUUUCACUGUGUGUAUGAGGGUCCUCCUCGGGAUUAUUCUGCUUUCUUGUAUUCAAAGUGUGGUGAAUGAAAAUGUGGACAUUAAGACCCUUUCCAGGAUUCAAAAUUUUUUUCAUCGAAGUUAUGAAAACGGCCAGUAUGCAGUAGCCAUAAAUGUCCCAAAGGAGCAGUGUCGAAGUAGUUUCUAUCCAUCAGAAACCAACUUUCUGCUGAAUGAUAAAUCGGAAAAUGUUAAACCUAACAUAAAUCGUGACUGCAAGUAUGUUUACAGAGGCACUGAACUCAUCGCUGCAGGAGUUCAUAAAGAUGCACAUUCAGAGUAUUUACUGAUGAAUCCUCCAAAGCGUUCUCCUUUGACAUACUUAUUGAAUAAAAAAAAGGAUGGGUGUGUGGUUUUCUACACCUUAAACUCUCCCUGUAUAGACAGAUGUCUUAAUAGUAAUGUUAAUAAUAAUAUUAUACCAGGUCUUGAUGAAUUAAAGGAAUACCAGGGAAUUAAAGCCUUUGUUUACUCAAACAUCAACACAAAAGACAAAGGCAAAGAAAAUCUGCGUGAGGCACUAAAGAAGAUUGCUGAUCGUGUGCCACUUUACCGCUGUAACCAACAAGGUUGUAUCCCUUGUGGAGAACCAGAUUCAAAUGUACAAGUGAAUAACCAAUGUUUGAAUUAACAAUUAUGUCUCACUUACACACUUGAGUUUCUUGUGUGACAGAAAUGCUUUAGAUUACCUGAUGUGCUAAUAUACUGCUAAGUGUUUUGAAGAUAUGCUUCAUUGCUCAAUUGGAGUCUUUCAUAUGUUGCCUUUUGCUUUUUCUUUCAUAAAGUUGACCUAUAUUUCUUACACAUGAGUAAAUUCUGACAGGGGAGCAAAAAUGUUAAUUCGAAAUUGCUGUUUUAUGAGUGAUUCUAAUCAUGAAAAAAGUACCAGUAAAUUAAAGCCAUUGUGCAUAUGGGCUGGACCACAAUGUUUUUUAAUAAUCUUUGUAUUAAAUUGCUAAUUUGUUUAUGCUUUGUGACAAUAUUUGUAAUGCUUCCAUAAACACUGCUUGGAAAAAUAAAUGCAUUUGUAUGCACCA